rnacentral:rRNA from 1 species
UAGGCAGCAGUGGGGAAUCUUGCACAAUGGGGGAAACCCUGAUGCAGCGACGCCGCGUGAGCGAUGAAGCCCUUCGGGGUGUAAAGCUCUUUCGGCAGGGAAGAUGGUGACGGUACCUGCAGAAGCAGCUGCGGCUAACUACGUGCCAGCAGCCGCGGUAAUACGUAGGCAGCAAGCGUUGUUCGGAGUUACUGGGCGUAAAGGGUGCGUAGGCGGCCGAUUAAGUUUGUCGUGAAAUCUCCCGGCUCAACUGGGAGGGUGCGGCGGAAACUGAUGGGCUCGAGUGCGGGAGAGGAGAGUGGAAUUCCUGGUGUAGCGGUGAAAUGCGUAGAUAUCAGGAGGAACACCGGCGGUGUAGACGGCUCUCUGGACCGUAACUGACGCUGAGGCACGAAAGCGUGGGUAGCAAACAGGAUUAGAUACCCUGGUAGUCCACGCCCUAAACGAUGCGCAUUUGGUGUGGGCAGUUCAUUCUGUCCGUGCCGGAGCUAACGCGUUAAAUGCGCCGCCUGGGGAGUACAGUCGCAAGGCUGAAACUCAAAGGAAUUGACGGGGGCCCGCACAAGCGGUGGAGCAUGUGGUUCAAUUCGACGCAACGCGAAGAACCUUACCUGGGCUCGAACGGCCUUUCAACGGCGGUGGAAACACCGCUAUCCCGCAAGGGAGUGAGGUCGAGGUGCUGCAUGGCUGUCGUCAGCUCGUGUCGUGAGAUGUUGGGUUAAGUCCCGCAACGAGCGCAACCCUUGUCCUGUGUUGCCACCCGCAAGGGGGAACUCGCAGGAGACCGCCAGCGAUAAGUUGGAGGAAGGUGGGGAUGACGUCAAGUCCUCAUGGCCUUUAUGUCCAGGGCUACACACGUGCUACAAUGGCCGGUACAAAGCGCAGCGAAGUCGCGAGACGGAGCCAAUCGCAGAAAGUACGUCUCAGUUCGGAUUGCAGGCUGCAACUCGCCUGCAUGAAGUUGGAAUCGCUAGUAAUCGUAUAUCAGCAAUGAUACGGUGAAUACGUUCCCGGGCCUUGUACACACCGCCAA